rnacentral:rRNA from 1 species
UACGGAGGAUGCAAGCGUUAUCCGGAUUUAUUGGGUUUAAAGGGUGCGUAGGCAGGAAAAUAAGUCAGUGGUGAAAUCCUACAGCUUAACUGUAGAAUUGCCGUUGAUACUGUUUUUCUUGAGUAUGGUCAAGGAAGGCGGAAUGUGUAAUGUAGCGGUGAAAUGCUUAGAUAUUACACAGAACACCAAUUGCGAAGGCAGCUUUCUGGCCCAUUACUGACGCUGAGGCACGAAAGCGUGGGGAUCGAACAGGAUUAGAUACCCU